rnacentral:rRNA from 1 species
UACGUAGGUGGCAAGCGUUGUCCGGAUUUAUUGGGUUUAAAGGGUGCGUAGGCGGUUUUUUAAGUCAGUGCUGAAAUACUCCAGCUUAACUGGAGGGGUGGCAUUGAUACUGGAAGACUUGAGUACAGAUGAGGUAGGCGGAAUUGACGGUGUAGCGGUGAAAUGCAUAGAUAUCGUCAAGAACACCGAUAGCGAAGGCAGCUUACUGGGCUGUAACUGACGCUGAGUGCACGAAAAGUGUGGGGAUCAAACAGG